rnacentral:rRNA from 1 species
CUACGUGCCAGCAGCCGCGGUAAUACGGAAGGUCCGGGCGUUAUCCGGAUUUAUUGGGUUUAAAGGGAGUGUAGGCGGUCUGUUAAGCGUGUUGUGAAAUUUAGGUGCUCAACAUUUAACUUGCAGCGCGAACUGUCAGACUUGAGUACACGCAGCGCAGGCGGAAUUCAUGGUGUAGCGGUGAAAUGCUUAGAUAUCAUGAGGAACUCCGAUCGCGAAGGCAGCCUGCGGGAGUGUUACUGACGCUUAAGCUCGAAGGUGCGGGUAUCGAACAGGAUUAGAUACCCUGGUAGUCCGCACUGUAAACGAUGGAUGCCCGCCGUUGGCGCCCUGCGCCUGCGGCCAAGCGAAAGCAUUAAGCAUCCCACCUGGGGAGUACGCCGGCAACGGUGAAACUCAAAGGAAUUGACGGGGGCCCGCACAAGCGGAGGAACAUGUGGUUUAAUUCGAUGAUACGCGAGGAACCUUACCCGGGCUUGAAUUGCAGUCGCUGCCCACAGAGACGUGGGCUUCC